AUCACCUGAGGAUCUUGAUAAAAUGCAGGUUUUGAUUUAGUAGGUCUAGAGUGGGGCCUGAGAUUCUGCAUUUCUAACAAGCUCCCAAGUGAUGCUGA
rnacentral:pre_miRNA from 1 species